AUGGAAUGGAAAUGCAAUCCAGUUCCUUCCAGACUGAAGCAGGAGAAUCACUUGAACCCGGGAGGUGGAGGUUGCAGUGAGCCAAGAUCGUGCCACUGCACUCCACACUCCAGCCUGGGUGACAGAACGAGACUGCGUCUCAAAAACAAAAACAAAAAACGACAGUCUUAAACUAAUGUGUUUGACUAAGAUGGAUAACAGGGAUUGGAUUUACACUUCCACUUUAAACAACUAAAAACUUGACAAAAUAUAUGAAAUAAGUGUUUUCAGACGUAACAUAGUCAGCACAGGGCAAUCACGCUUGAGAGAGGAAACAGAUGAUUGCCCGGCUGAGUUCUAGGAGCGUUUCCAGGCCACAGCAAAGGGAGGGGGGAUGUGUGGAGCCUGCUUGUCUCCCUGAGUUGAGGUAGCGUUGGGAGUUUGGGGAGGCCCAGGUGGCUAGCGUUUGCAGGGCAGAGUACUGGGGAGGACAGAGUUACACACAGAGAGACCCAGACAGCUGCAGAAGGCUCCCUUCAAGUCUUCAACUGAAGACGAAUCAGCAAAGGCAUGUAUAGAAACUGUCAGGCCGCUGAGCCCAACCUAAGCCAUCAUUAUCCCCUGUGACCUGCAUGUGCACAUCCAGGUGGCCUGAAGCAACUGAAGAUCCACAAAAGAAGUGAAAAUAGCCAGGUCCUGCCUUAACUGAUAACAGUCCACCAUUGUGAUUUGUUCCUGCCCCACCCUAACUGGUCAAUUGACCUUAAGACAAUAUACCCUCCCCGCCCUUGCAGUAACGUACUUUGUGAUAUUCCCCCGCCCUUAAGAAGGUACUUUGUAAUAUUCUCCCACCCUUGAGAAUGUACUUUGUAAGAUCCACCCCCUGCGCCCCAAAAAAUUGCUCCUAACUCCACUGCCUAUCCCAAACCUGUAAGAACUAAUGAUAAUCCCACCACCCUUUGCUGACUCUCUUUUCGGACUCAGCCCACCUGCACCCAGGUGAUUAAAAAGCUUUAUUACGGCGGGGGGCGGUGGCUCAAGCCUGUAAUCCCAGCACUUUGGGAGGCCAAGACGGGCGGAUCACGAGGUCAGGAGAUCGAGACCAUCCUGGCUAACACAGUGAAACCCCGUCUCUACUAAAAAAAAAACACAAAAAACUAGCCGGGCGAGGUGGCGGGUGCCUGUAGUCCCAGCUACUCCGGAGGCUGAGGCAGAAGAAUGGCGUAAACCUGGGAGGCGGAGCUUGCAGUGAGCUGAGCAACUAAGUCUCAAAAAAAAAAAAAAAAAAAAGGCUUUAUUGCUCACACAAAGCCUGUUUGGUGGUCUCUUCACACGGAGGCGUGUGACAGAAACCACUUGAGGCUGGGCGUGGUGGCUCAUGCCUGUAAUCCUAGCACUUUAGGAGGCCAAGGCAGGUGGAUUACCUGAGGUCAGGAGUUCGAGACCACCCUGACUAACAUGGUAAAACCCUGUCUCUACUAAAAAUACAAAAAAAAUUAGCCAGGGGUGGUGGCGGGCACCUGUCAUCUCAGCUGCUUGGGACGCUGAGGCAGGAGAAUCGCUUGAACCCGGGAGGUGGAGGUUGUGAUGAGUCGAGAUUCCAGCCUGGGCAACAAGAGUGAAAACUCCGUCUCAAAAAAAAAGAAAAGAAAAGAAAAGAAAAGUAACCACUUGAAGCUGGAGAAAGAAUCCCCUCAAAAGAAUCAUCCCUAGAGCUCACACAGGGCUGGGGAUCGUUCACAUUCCCACCAGGCAGAGCGGGAGCACCUCAUCCUGUCCAGGGCAUCCAGCAGAGUACUCAAGAGUUUUCGCCUCAGAAAUGGUGAGAAAACUGGCUCUAGAUAAUAGGCUGCUUUAAUUCCACCUAAUGAA
rnacentral:lncRNA from 1 species